GCUGGGCGUGGUGGCUCACGCCUGUAAUCCCAGCACAUUGGGAGGCUGAGGUAGGUGGAUCACCUGAGGUCAGGAGUUCGAGACCAGCCUGGCCAACAUGGUGAAACCCCAUCUCUA
rnacentral:SRP_RNA from 1 species